rnacentral:rRNA from 1 species
AUUGAACGCUGGCGGCAGGCUUAAUACAUGCAAGUCGAGCGGGGUGAUGGUGCUUGCACUAUCACUUAGCGGCGAACGGGUGAGUAAUGCUUAGGAAUCUGCCUAUUAGUGGGGGACAACAUCUCGAAAGGGAUGCUAAUACCGCAUACGUCCUACGAGAGAAAGCAGGGGAUCACUUGUGACCUUGCGCUAAUAGAUGAGCCUAAGUCGGAUUAGCUAGUUGGUGGGGUAAAGGCCUACCAAGGCGACGAUCUGUAGCGGGUCUGAGAGGAUGAUCCGCCACACUGGGACUGAGACACGGCCCAGACUCCUACGGGAGGCAGCAGUGGGGAAUAUUGGACAAUGGGGGGAACCCUGAUCCAGCCAUGCCGCGUGUGUGAAGAAGGCCUUAUGGUUGUAAAGCACUUUAAGCGAGGAGGAGGCUCUUUUGGUUAAUACCCAAGAUGAGUGGACGUUACUCGCAGAAUAAGCACCGGCUAACUCUGUGCCAGCCGCCGCCGUAA